UGUGGUUUCAAUCGCAGCGAGGAUCCACCUGUCCCCUUUCCGAACCCAGAAGUUCAGCUCUCGAGCGAUGAUGGUACUUUGUGGGAACCUGCCUUGGAGAGUAGGACGUAUCCACUU
rnacentral:rRNA from 1 species